rnacentral:tRNA from 1 species
CUGGGGGUGCCACUCAGUGGUACGGUGUGCUUCGCAUGCACAAGGCCCUGGGUUCAAUCCCCAUCUCCAAAG